GACGAACGCUGGCGGCGUGCCUAAUACAUGCAAGUCGAACGAGAGCGACCGGUGCUUGCACUGGUCAAUCUAGUGGCGAACGGGUGAGUAACACGUGGGUAACCUGCCCAUCAGAGGGGGAUAACAUCCGGAAACGGAUGCUAAAACCGCAUAGGUCUUCGAGCCGCAUGGCUUGAAGAGGAAAAGAGGCGCAAGCUUCUGCUGAUGGAUGGACCCGCGGUGCAUUAGCUAGUUGGUGAGGUAACGGCUCACCAAGGCCGUGAUGCAUAGCCGACCUGAGAGGGUGAUCGGCCACAUUGGGACUGAGACACGGCCCAAACUCCUACGGGAGGCAGCAGUCGGGAAUCUUCCGCAAUGGACGCAAGUCUGACGGAGCAACGCCGCGUGAGUGAAGAAGGUUUUCGGAUCGUAAAACUCUGUUGUUAGAGAAGAACAAGUGCUAGAGUAACUGUUAGCGCCUUGACGGUAUCUAACCAGAAAGCCACGGCUAACUACGUG
rnacentral:rRNA from 1 species